rnacentral:rRNA from 1 species
UUCCAGACUCCUACGGGAGGCAGCAGUGGGGGAUAUUGCACAAUGGGGGAAACCCUGAUGCAGCGACGCCGCGUGAGUGAAGAAGUAUUUCGGUAUGUAAAGCUCUAUCAGCAGGGAAGAAGAUGACAGUACCUGAGUAAGAAGCCCCGGCUAACUACGUGCCAGCAGCCGCGGUAAUACGUAGGGGGCAAGCGUUAUCCGGAUUUACUGGGUGUAAAGGGAGCGUAGACGGUUAUGUAAGUCUGGAGUGAAAGCCCGGGGCCCAACCCCGGGACUGCUUUGGAAACUGUGUAACUAGAGUACAGGAGGGGCAGGCGGAAUUCCCGGUGUAGCGGUGAAAUGCAUAGAUAUCACGCAGAACUCCGAUUGCGAAGGCAGCAUACCGGCGCCCAACUGACGCUGAAGCACGAAAGCGUGGGUAUCGAACAGGAUUAGAUACCCCUGUA